CAUCAGGUUAGGUGAGUAUUGGGUUAAUGACGCCUUGAAUUAUAUAAUUCAUGCCGGUCCCAAGCCCGGAGAAAGUCAGAGGGACCC
rnacentral:ribozyme from 1 species